rnacentral:rRNA from 1 species
UACGGGGGGGGCAAGCGUUGUUCGGGAUUACUGGGCGUAAAGGGCUCGUAGGCGGCCAACUAAGUCAGACGUGAAAUCCCUCGGCUUAACCGGGGAACUGCGUCUGAUACUGGAUGGCUUGAGUUUGGGAGAGGGAUGCGGAAUUCCAGGUGUAGCGGUGAAAUGCGUAGAUAUCUGGAGGAACACCGGUGGCGAAGGCGGCAUCCUGGACCAACACUGACGCUGAGUGAGCGAAAGCCAGGGGAGCAAACGGG